rnacentral:rRNA from 1 species
AGAUUGAACGCUGGCGGCAUGCCUUACACAUGCAAGUCGAACGGUAACAGGUCUUCGGACGCUGACGAGUGGCGAACGGGUGAGUAAUACAUCGGAACGUGCCCAGUCGUGGGGGAUAACUACUCGAAAGAGUAGCUAAUACCGCAUACGAUCUGAGGAUGAAAGCGGGGGACCUUCGGGCCUCGCGCGAUUGGAGCGGCCGAUGGCAGAUUAGGUAGUUGGUGGGAUAAAAGCUUACCAAGCCGACGAUCUGUAGCUGGUCUGAGAGGACGACCAGCCACACUGGGACUGAGACACGGCCCAGACUCCUACGGGAGGCAGCAGUGGGGAAUUUUGGACAAUGGGCGAAAGCCUGAUCCAGCAAUGCCGCGUGCAGGAUGAAGGCCUUCGGGUUGUAAACUGCUUUUGUACGGAACGAAAAAGCUUCUCCUAAUACGAGAGGCCCAUGACGGUACCGUAAGAAUAAGCACCGGCUAACUACGUGCCAGCAGCCGCGGUAAUACGUAGGGUGCGAGCGUUAAUCGGAACUACUGGGCGUAAAGCGUGCGCAGGCGGUUAUGUAAGACAGAUGUGAAAUCCCCGGGCUCAACCUGGGAACUGCAUUUGUGACUGCAUGGCUAGAGUACGGUAGAGGGGGAUGGAAUUCCGCGUGUAGCAGUGAAAUGCGUAGAUAUGCGGAGGAACACCGAUGGCGAAGGCAAUCCCCUGGACCUGUACUGACGCUCAUGCACGAAAGCGUGGGGAGCAAACAGG